UACGGAGGGUGCGAGCGUUGUCCGGAAUCACUGGGCGUAAAGGGCGCGUAGGCGGCCUGAUAAGUAGGGGGUGAAAUCCUGCGGCUUAACCGCAGGGCUGCCUUCUAAACUGUCAGGCUAGAGCACGGUAGAGGCAGAUGGAAUUCUCGGUGUAGCGGUGGAAUGCGUAGAGAUCGGGAAGAACAUCAGUGGCGAAGGCGGUCUGCUGGGCCGUUGCUGACGCUGAGACGCGAAAGCGUGGGGAGCAAACAGG
rnacentral:rRNA from 1 species